rnacentral:rRNA from 1 species
GACGAACGCUGGCGGCGUGCUUAACACAUGCAAGUCGAACGGAAAGGCCCUGCUUGCAGGGUACUCGAGUGGCGAACGGGUGAGUAACACGUGGGUGAUCUGCCCUGCACUUCGGGAUAAGCCUGGGAAACUGGGUCUAAUACCGGAAAGGAGCAAUUUUUAUUGAUAUGGUUGGAAAGUUUUUUCGGUGGAGGAUGAGCUCGCGGCCUAUCCGCUUGUUGGUGGGGUAAUGGACUACCAAGGCGGCGACGGGUAGCCGGGCUGAGAGGGUGGACGGCCACAUUGGGACUGGGAUACGGCCCAGACUCCUACGGGAGGCAGCAGGGGGGAAUAUUGCACAAUGGGCGCAAGCCUGAUGCAGCGACGCCGCGUGGGGGAUGACGGCCUUCGGGUUGUAAUCUCCUUUCGCUAGGGACGAAGCUUUUUGUGACGGUACCUAGAUAAGAAGCACCGGCUAACUACGUG